rnacentral:rRNA from 1 species
CGCCUGGGGAGUACGGCCGCAAGGUUAAAACUCAAAUGAAUUGACGGGGGCCCGCACAAGCGGUGGAGCAUGUAGUUUAAUUCGACGCAACGCGAAGAACCUUACCUGGCCUUGACAUCCAGAGAGCUUUCCAGAGAUGGAUUGGUGCCUUCGGGAACUCUGAGACAGGUGCUGCAUGGCCGUCGUCAGCUCGUGUCGUGAGAUGUUGGGUUAAGUCCCGUAACGAGCGCAACCCCUAUCCCUGGUUGCUAGCAGGUAAUGCUGAGAACUCCAGGGAGACUGCCGGUGACAAACCGGAGGAAGGUGGGGAUGACGUCAGGUCAUCAUGGCCCUUACGGCCAGGGCUACACACGUGCUACAAUGGCGCGUACAGAGGGCUGCCAACUCGCGAGAGUGAGCCAAUCCCUUAAAACGCGUCGUAGUCCGGAUCGGAGUCUGCAACUCGACUCCGUGAGGUCGGAAUCGCUAGUAAUCGCGAAUCAGAAUGUCGCGGUGAAUACGUUCCCGGGCCUUGUACACACCGCCCGUCACACCAUGGGAGUGGAUUGCACCAGAAGUAGUUAGUCUAACCUUCGGGAGGACGAUUACCACGGUGUGGUUCAUGACUGGGGUGAAGUCGUAACAAGGUAACCGUA